rnacentral:rRNA from 1 species
GAUGAACGCUGGCGGCGUGCUUAACACAUGCAAGUCGAACGGAAAUGCCGCAGCUUGCUUCGGUACUCGAGUGGCGAACGGGUGAGUAACACGUGGGUGAUCUGCCCUGUACUUCGGGAUAAGCUUGGGAAACUGGGUCUAAUACCGGAUAUGACGCUCUCUUGCAUGGGGUUGUGGAAAGCUUUUUCGGUAUGGGGUAAGCUCGCGGCCUAUCUGCGCUUUGUGGUGGUGAUGGCCUACCAAAACGUCGACGGGUAGCCGGCCUGAGAGAGUGUACGGCGACAUAGGGACAGAGAUACAGGGCAGACACCUACGCGAGGCAGCAGUGGGGAAUAUUGCGCAAUAGGGGCAAGCCUGAUGCAGAGACGCGGCGUGGGGGAUGACAGCGUUCGGGGUGUAUACUCCUCUCGCAGUAGACGAAGACUGAUAGCGACGGUAGGUUGAGAAGAAGCACCGGCUAACUACGUG